CAUAAAAUGACGUGGCGGGCCGAAUUUGGCACACGGGCCUUGCGUUUGACACGUGUGCUCUAAAAAGUACAAGUUUUUUUUUUAUAAAACAUACUCAAGUAAAUGUGACUGAGUACUGCUUUGCCGGUAAUGUUCCGCAGUAUGACAUUAAACUUAACUUUAUAUAUGACGUGUACUUUUAUACAGACCCGGGUAUUUCCCCUGGUAUUUCUCUAGUUUCUCUUGUUCCUUUUUCCUGAUGUUCACUUGGUUCUGUUGUUUAUCCAGCGCCACAGUGUCCGUUCGGUCCAUCGCCUUCUGUCGGUCUGUAUCUGGACGCCGCCCUGGAUCUUGGCUCGGUCAUUCUCCACGAACAUUCGGACGCGUUUCCCGCCUUGAUCUUGGGGUUUCUCGCUGGAUCGUCUCAGGGGCCUCGUUGCACAGUCUACGCUCGGGUCCGGUGUGGUCGCUCUGGCGCUCGGGGUCGGGUCCUCUUCUCCAGGAUGAGCCUCUUGUCCUUCGCUCUUUCUCCAGACGUUCAUGGAGCUGAAUGAAACCAGCCACGACACAGGGAGAACAUGCAAACUCUAAACACAUCACACCCCCGGGAAUCGAACCAGGGACCUUCUGGCUGUGGGGUGAGCGCUGUCUUAUUUGUCUCUCAUGUUUUGAUGUUUUUACUUUCACUUUCACCUUUGAGCAGUGACUCGUCUCAUGACUCGCUCUGUCACGGCGUUUUUUCGGGACUUUUCACAUGAGUCGAGUUUACAUCAUAUUUAUUUGAUCAGCAGCGACUAAAGCUGCACUGUGGGGCUUUUCUGAGGGUCCCGGGGCGGACUGUCUCCAUGGAGAUGUUAGCACGUGUUUUCAGGGAUGUUCCACAGUGUUAAAAAUCAAACUUUUGUGUUCAGUUACGGUUGUUUUUAUGUCUCAAAAAUGGAUGGAUCGAGGGAUAGAGAGAAGGAGAGAGAGAUAAAAGAGAUGGAGGGAUGAACAGAGAGAAGGAGAGAGAGACAAAAGAGAUGGAGGGAUGAACAGAGAGAAGGAGAGAGAGACAAAAGAGAUGGAGGGAUGAACAGAGAGAAGGAGAGAGAGACAAAAGAGAUAGAGGGAUGAACAGAGAGAAGGAGAAAGAGACAAUAGAGAUGGAGGGAUAGAGAGAAGGAUAGAGAGACAAAAGAGAUGGAGGGAGGGACAGAGAGAAGGAGAGAGAGACAAUAGAGAUGGAGGGAUGAACAGAGAGAAGGAGAGAUGGAGGGAGGGACAGAGAAGAGAGAGACAAAAGAGAUGGAUGGAGGGACAGAGAGAAGGAGAGAGAGACAAAAGAGAUGGAGGGAUAGAGAGAAGGAGAGAGACAAAAGAGAUGGAGGGAUGAACAGAGAGGAGAGAGAGAGACAAAAGAGAUGGAGGGAUGAACAGAGAGAAGGAGAGAGAGACAAAAGAGAUGG
ensembl:lncRNA